UCGGUCUCAAAGGGGAAAGAGAUGUGACGAACUGGGAAAGUUCUUAAUGUUUUCUCUGAAUACUGUAUUGGUGCCUCAGUGUCCCCAUGGCAGUUCUUAAGUAUCUGGCAGAGCCAAGGGCCAGUGCACCUAAAUGCCUGACACUCUGUCUCCUAGCAACUGAUGGCCUGGGCCCCUCCUCUGCAAAGGUGCCAGCUGAAGGUGUUGGAGACAAAGGGAUCAGGUGACCUCCUGGCCCGGGAAAGGGGCUGAGCAGAAAGAAGGGGGGGGGGGGGUUGUUAGUCUGGAGCUGGCUGGGGUCAAGGGUGGAGGGCAGACCUGGGGGUCUGGCUCACUGCCCCCCAGAAUGGACCCAGCCGAGGGGUCCGGUUCUCUGUACCUACAAGCUCUGUUUUAGACCCUGUUCCUGUCAUCGAAUAAACCUCUGUUUUACUGGCUGGCUGAGAGUCAUGUCUGACUGCAAAGUGGGGGUGCAGGACCCUGUGGCUUCCCCGGGACCCCGCUGGGGUGGACUCGCUGUGGGAAGCGCACGGAGGGGCAGAGGAUGCUGAAUGCUCCAAGGAGAGACCCAGGAGGUGAAGCCGUGGGAGCUUCUUGCCCUGAACAAGUCUGCUCCAAGGGAGAGGAGGCUCCCCAAAGUCCUGCCUGGCUUGGUGGGGAGCAGUUCCAGAGCAUCGCCCGGUGACUCCGUGACAAGGGCCCAGCAGGUCCAUGCCCCGGCUGAACCCACUGCAGAGCCAAGAGCACCUGCUGCCAUGCGGGCCGGGCUCCUGCCUCCAGGGUGAGGCACCG